UGUGUGUGUGCGGUGUGUAUUUAGAUAACAUGCAUAUACAUUUGCAACUCUAUAUGUGCAUAAAAUACCUGCUCAUGCUGGCAGAAGCAAAGUUAAUAUGCCAAGACCACUGAUGCUGUUGUCUAGAAAUGCAUCAUCCUCAGUAGGAUUUUGAGGUUUACUGGCCGUGAAGCACAAUCCUGUAGCAGGUACUCCAAUGUCAAAGGAAAUUUUAGACAAUAUAAUGACUUCAUUUAAUUCCUACGCCUAAAGAACAGGAAUCUAACAAUAUCACAGAGCACAUUCGUCUUCCCUCUCCCACCAGGAUCCGUGUUUUACAAAGGUUUUAAAUCAUUGUUUUCAGUUCCAUAAGCAUUGAUUUAGAAGCAGGUAAAUUGGAAACUUGCAUUGAAUGUAUGGCUCCAGCGGCUGUGAUUGGAGCCCAACCUCAACAAAGAUAGGUUUAGCCCCAUAAUGCUGGACACAGCAACUGAUGUAUUAUAUUAGCUCAGACUUCUGCCCGAUUAAAUAUAUUGACUGGUGCCGUAAAGAUUUUUCAGCACCAAGCUGUGGUCAUAUUUUCCAGUUACUUUGCAUUCCUUUGACUGCACAUCAUUGUUCCAGAUUUUUUUAAACUAGUUUUGCAAUCAAGAAUUUUGUACUAUGUAUGGAAUUUGGAGUUUGGUUUGUAGAUGUUAUGCAGUUCUUAGGUCUAGGUCUUAAUUUUCUCUUUCCACCUGUAGAUUCAGGCUUGGCAGCUCAUCAUCAUCCAUGCUGGAAAUUAGAUGCUUGCUUCAUAAUAGUAAUGUAUGGAACAAUACUAAUAUUAGUCCUUAAGCAUGGGUCAUAAGAUCAGUCAUUACGCUCACUAUAUACCAUUUUAGAUACAGUUUUUUAUUUAGUAUCAGUCUUUACUUUCCUGUUGACAGUUCCUGAAACAGCAAGUGUGGAUGUGAUGAGAAACUGCUUGAUAAAUGUUCAGUGACAAAGGCCUUGUCUACAAAAUAGACUUUUUUCCCCCUGAGAUUUAUCUCUUGCCGCUAUGAGAGGAGAAUAUACCAGUAGUAGCAGCAGCUGGAAAUUGUAGGGGAAAGAACCUGGUGUACAUAACACCUCCUCCUCCUACCUUCUGUCACAGAUAUAAAUCACUGCUUUUGGGAGAGAUGUCUUUCAUCUCUGUAUUUAAAUCCUGGAACUGGUAAUCGAACUCUUGCUUUCAGCAGCAACGUAUUUUACAAACACACAAUUUAACUCCUAGAAGCUGGGGUAGGUGGGACUGCAGAGCACGUCCAUAUCUUAGCGUAGGUUCUCUACUCAUCUCUCUUUGUUUGAGUGUGUUUAGCUAAUUAAUCUGUACAUUGUACAGAUGGGACCUCAGACACCUGUUUUGGUGGCUGUUCUGUUAUCAGGUGGCUCUUGACAUUUUUUUUAUCAAAUCUAAAUUUGCCUUUCUUUAGUUUAAGCCCAAUAUUGCUUUUAAUACAUCCAACUAUAAUCCAUUUACAACUUCUGUAAAGGCUUGCUCCUUUCAUUACAUUAUUAUCUGUGAAAUAUUAAGGAAAGAUAGCCGUGAAAUCAAAGCAAUUGCCUAAUCUCAUGGAAAAUGUGUUUUAAAGUGAGAUUUUCAAAGGGAGAAAUGUAGUUAAGUACCUAACUGCUGUUUGUGCCUUUAAAAAUCUUCCCCUAAAUCACUACUAACUCUUUAAAACGGCCUGUGUGUAAAAAUGCGAAGAUAAGGAUUGAAGCAGGAAGCUGGCAUAUUGUCUGUUAGCUUGAUUAUAUCCUUCAGGGCAGGAAGAACAGCGCUGUAGCCAGAGACACAUGGAACUCCUGGAGUUUUUUAAGUAGGUUCUUUUAUCUCUUGUUUUGUUUUUCUGUUUACAGCCAUCUAAUUCUUUCGUUUCUUGCGAAAUCUAGCUGUACAGUGAUAGCAGGAGAGUAUCUACAAGGAGCUAUAGGCCUCCUUUUUUGGGUAGACCACAUCAAGCUGCAUUUCCUGUUGCAAGUAUCACUAAAAUGGCAGGCCGUCAGUGUUUAUACAGCUGUCCAAUUCAUAACGGGACAAUCUGAAGUAAUUUCAGGUAUUUUGAAAUACUGUUUUGAAAUUUCCAUGCUUAAUUUACAUAUUCUAAUUUAAAAAGCAACAAAGAGUCCUGUAGCACCUAGACUAACAGACAUAUUGGAGCAUAAGCUUUUGUGAAUACCCACUUCCUGCGUCUGACGCAUGUAUUCACCCACGAAAGCUUAUGCUCCAAUAUGUCCGUUAGCCUAUAAGGUGCCACAGGACUCUUUGUUGCUUUUUACAGACCCAGACUAACACGGCUACCCCUCUGAUACUUAAUUUAAAAAGCUAUUCUAUAGCCAAGUAAGGCUGCAGGUCUCCUUUUAAGGUAAGUUGGCAACUAUCUCCUGUCCAAAAAGAAACUACCAGUUUCUUAGCGGUUCAAUAUGCACUUUAAAAAAACAUCAGUACCUAACAUUCACAGUCAUCAGUUUUUACAAGGCUCAAAACUAAAUGUGCUUGGGAGAAUAAAAUAAAUGCUGAAGCUCAAUCAAAGUGAAGCAUGACAAAUGUAGUACAGAGCAGGAAUGUCUGAGUGACAAAAUAAGCCAGUUUUCAAAAUAAUCUGUUUGCUUUUAGAAGAAAUGAUCAUACUGUGAUUGCAGAUCUAACCUGUGGAUGCUGCAGUCCAAGAAAGAAUCUGAGUACAGAAAACUGUAUUGAACAUAAUUAUGCCCCAAAAUGAAGAGAUACAGUGUGCCUUUAUUUCUUUCCCUAGAGAGAUUCUGCAUCUGCCUUUUUCAAGGCUGCAUGUAGAUGAAUAACCAGGUCCUUUGGGGAAGACUAGCACCUCAUAAAAUAUUUCUACUUCCGUUUCCCGGCUUAAAUGGUGUAUCAUGCGUGACUACAGCUCUACUCCUAAGGUCACAAAUGAUGACAUACUAAGAAGUAUAACACUUUCAGUCAGUAUUUUUCACCACUAAAAAGGAUUCUGUCAGCUUGAAAUCUAGUCACCAUAAAAAUUGAGUUAAAUAGUUUUGACAGUACCUGUGUUUUGUUCUGGUUUUACAGUCAGUUUCCUAUUUUUUAAAGUUUUUUCUCUCUUCCUUCCCUGUUGCUGUAGGAAAGUUGUGCACAAGCAUCAGGGGAAAUGCACUAUGCACACAAUGCUAUGAAAAGCACUAAGUAAAUGCACUGAAAAAACAGAAUUUUUCUCUAAUCAUUGUUAUAGCUGACUAAAGAAGGUAAAAUAUUCAGCCAGAAGUGUGAUUUUUAAUGUUAUGACAACCCUUUUAAAUUUAAGGGUGCAUUUUCUCUUCCACUGGUGCUAUUUGCUGGUAAUAUUUUUAUGCUGCAUCACAGAAAGAUGUUUAAGUCCUAUGAUAUCAUCAGGAUCCAGUUGUCUCUGUUCUUGCCAAGGAAAAGAAUGGGCUUCAUAGCAGUAAACUGAAUCCCAGAAAACGGGAGUUAAAGCUCUGUUAAACUUUUGGAGCACAAUGCUUCUAGCAGGUCCCACUCUUUAUUUUUAAAUUGUGUGAAUGCAAUUCUCCUGAAAGGCACCAGAUUGAUAGCCCUGCAGUGUACUGUUUAGCCACAAACUGGGCACAGCAAUACAAGCUUUCCCUGAAGGGAACACCUCUAGGGCUAAUAUAGCUGGCAAUCUGCUUUGAGAAAUGAAGGCUUGAAUGGACAGAGAGGGGCAAGUUGCCAGUUAGUGCUAUCCGUGGUGGCUUUUUGUGCUUUGGAUGUGGGAACUGGAUUGAAAUCACUAAAAUCAAUUUAUGUAAUUCACAAAACAGCCAUCAGAGAGUAAUUUUUAGUCACAACCAACCUGGACUGAAUUCAAACCAGAGACCUAACGUCUCUUUGAAAACACUAAACAUUAAUUUAGAUCAAAGUCUAAAAACCUGGGUAUUGAACCCUCCGCAUGCAAAGCACGUUCCCCUGUGCCCCCGCCCCAGAUCCAUUUUAUACUGAUUGUGGUGUUCACAUCAGAUAAGAAAUAUUUAUUUGUCCUAUCCUCCUCUUCGUCUCCCCCCCCUGCCCCAAAUGACCGUGAGUACUAUAAACACUUUCCCCAGUGAACGUCACCACAUGCACAAAGAAUGCUGUGGGUGGAUUUUACUGUAAUAUGAAUCAUUCCAUCAAACUACCUGUCUCCUAUGAAUAACAGUCCAAAAUAUCCCACUGACAAUUAUCCCCUUUACAUUCCAGACACCCUGCUCUGACAAGCAGGGAAGGCAUCACGUUGAUGUCUGCAUAGGGUGUCUUGUGACAAGGCCUCUCCUUGGCCAGUGAAUUGCUCUCCAAGGAAUUAGUGUUUAUAAGCAUCUCUGCACUGCAGUUUGUUUUGUAAAUUUGGACUCUUGCUGAAUCAGUGUAAGAUGUUUUUGGAGUAGAAUAAGUUUUUGUAUUCCUUUAAACAGGAAGCAGUACUGUACAUUUUUAAUAGAGUGUACUUGUUGCAUGUAUGUGUACCAUAAUCAGUAAGGACUAGGAAGCUUUCUAUUAGCAUGAUAGUGUGAUGAAUGUUUACUUCCCAGAAAUGGCCAGAGCUGUGGUUCAGCGGAAUCUACAGUGUAAUGUAAGUGUAGGAGGUGUGAACUCUGGCACAGGCUGAAAGCACAAUUUUGUACCAGUUACAGGACUAGCUGCAUAAAGUCUGUAACACAUGAAUGUAACAUGUCAGGAAAUACUUCCUUUGUAUCUAACAAUGGGGGAGUUGAGAUUUUAAAGAUGCAUUCAGGGAACAACUGCCUUCAGUACAGUUGUUAAGCCAGCACCGCAGACUUACCAUUCGUAUGGCUGACUGUUUCACAGAAGUGUGAGGAGACCUGAGCAUUAAUAAUUGUAAGCAGGUUAACAAAACAUUGCUGGACCCUUGCCUGUUAGGCCUGAGUCAACUCAAAAUUACACAUGCUCUUUUUGUGUCUGUGGUACAAUGUUUUGAAACUGAUCUACUUGAAAAAUGUCUUGUUCUUAUUGGUAUUUUUCAGUUGUCAGCAGGUGUUCUGCUGCAGAGCAUUUCAAACUGAGAUUUUUUUUCCGCAAACCAUCAAUUAAAGUAUUUGCAUGGCAGAGUUGGUUUUUCAUUAAAACUAAUGUUCUGUCAGCAGCUUGGAGGGUGGCAACCAAUCCAGACAUGGGGCAUUAGAUACGUACUUUUCCUGAUCAUUUCCUCUUUUUAUUUCAUGUUGUUUCACUUUUUUGAUAAUUAACAGUCCACCACGAUGCUAUCAGCUUGUUCAUUUUAGUUUUUACAGGCAUUAUUUCAUUUUGUUAAAGAAGAAUACAAAGUGAGAAGAUUUUUUUUUCUGAUCACAUGCAAAUUAUUUACAAUUGAUUGUUUUUCAGCCAGAUGCAUUUUUUCCUUUAGUUACUAAAGCAGUGAGUGGAUGGAAUGGGCUCGCUCUCAAAAAAUGUUGUGCAAUGUAAUUUCUUGGUUUGAUGUCAAUUUGUCGAUGGAUAUCUUUGCAUCUUCCUUGUCAUUCUGAUUUGUUUUAUUGUUCAGUGCAGCAAGAUCCAAUUUUCUAUAUUUUCUUUUGAGUGCUUAAAUUUUUUUUAAAAUCCUAUUUUACUGUUUUCUGGCUGCAAUUUGGAAAUGUACACGUUGAAAUUUUUAAAAAUGGUAUUAAGUUUUACAUUUAUGUUUCAAGUAAGACCAAAAAUCUUUAAUGCCUGCAAAGAUGCUGUUUAAAGUAUUCAUUCUAUAUCAGGAUUUGAGGUUUGCAGCAGCAUCUGCAGUAAAGCUGGUAUUAGAAAAAUGCAUGAUUAUGUUAAAAUACACAAAAUGGACAAAAAGGUCAUUCUUGCUCUUUUAUUCCAGUUGUGCUUAGGAGGAGGCAUUCUUUUUGCACUGGGUGCUAAUAUCAAACAGCCCAUGUAAUGCAAAGGUGAUUUUUCUAAACAGAACUUCUUUGCUACUUGUAACUAACUUUGCAUUUAUUGUGACCAAAUCUUGUACCAAACCUGAACAGACAGAGGUGUCUUUCCCCCACUCACAAAGCUGCGGAGCCUUUGCACUGUAGUAUCUAUUACAGAUUAUGUGCUUUCCUUCCAUGCAGGUGUGUAUCUCUGUGUUUUUUCUCUCUUCCGUGGGCACUGGUGCUCAGUGAGCCCUAAAGCUGUUUUGUGGUGCAUCUAUAAAUGGUGCAAAGUUAUGACACAGGCAUCUGAUAUCCCAACUGUGCAACAAACCAUCCUGGUUCUGGUGCAGACAGGGCCUUCCUACAUGGGUGAAAGAGACGAAGCGCUUGUCUACACAUGAAAGUUUUAUUCUAGAAUAAGGUAGAGUGUGAAUUUCAAGUGCAAUGGCUAUUCCAGAAUAACUUGUGUGUAGACAAGCGCCAAAUACCAUAAAAAUAUAAAUUGCUUCAUUUAAGCAGGGAGCUUCUAUUUUAACUUCUGCCAGUUCUUUUGUAAGGUUUUUAGUGUGUCCUCAUUUAGGGACUGACUUGAGCCAUCAUUUAGUCAAAUGAGAUCCCCGUUCACUAAGUUUAAAAUGGGAGCAUUUCAAAAAUAACAUGUUUUAAAAAUUCUUUCUUACCCGUGAGAUGUAAACACCCUACAUGUUAGAGUUCACUUUUCAUUAGUUAUUCUGUUUAAUAUUUUACUCCAAAAUCAAUAUUGACUGGUCAGCUUCACUCUUUGCUGCAUGGGUUUUGUUUGCUCGGGAAGGUGUGAAUUAAACUCAACAUUUGCUCGGAAUUACGCAUAACUAGUUUGGUAAAGAUUUGUUUGGGGAGAACAACAAUAUCCAUAAGUUUGGGGUAAAAACUACUGUCACUUGUCCCCUUCAAUAUUAACAACCAGGGCAGAGAACUUUUCCUUCGCCCUAAGGUAAACUAGCAUAGUGAGCCAUAUCAUGUCAGCAACUUUCAACAGGACUUCCAUUUGAUUUAAAUUAGUUCUGCUUUAUGUUCAUACUAAUAAGUGUUUUCUUUGCUUUUUUGAAAUGCAUCUGGGAGAUUCAGUGAUUAGUGGAGUGUUCAGUUAAGACACUCUCACACUUUCUUAUGCUAAGAGGGGGGCCAAAUGUUUUCCAUAAAGGUAUGAAAAGUCUGACAGCAUUGGGAAUGUGUUUGCCCAGUUUCAAGAGUUUUUAUUAGCCAUGCUGGCAUUGGUUUUUAGUGUCAAAUGGAUUUUUACAAAAUCUUUCUGUACAAACCACCAUUUUUAUUGGCCAACAAACAUUCUCUAUAUUUGAUGUGUAAGUAAGUUUCAGUAGCACUUUCAAGGAGUUUUUAUGGUUUGAAUACUGUAUAUUAUGCAUUGUUUUCUACUAUUUGUUUUUUUACUAGAGAAUCGCAUGGUUUAUACUGUACAGCAGUAAAGAACUGCAUUAAAAUUGUUUUAUCAUUA